rnacentral:tRNA from 1 species
GGGGAUUUAGCUCAGUGGGUUAAGCGUCUGCCUGACAAGCCCAAGGUCAUGAGUUUGAUCUCUAGUAUCCCCCA